GGCAGAGCUGGUGGUCCGGCUCGCAGGAAGCCAUGUGCUACCUAACCUGCUCCGUAGUGGCUCCUUGGUGUCAGAGGAGACAAGAGGAGCAACAGAGAAGACGAAGAAGCACUGCUAAGAGACCUGCCCAUCUGACUCUCUGGGCUCCUUCUGAGCAGCCAGCCUGAUUUGGAGGCCUUGGAGUGGAGUGUGAGAGGAUAUAGAAAAGGACAACACCAGGGGCAUUUCACUCACAAGGAACUUCCGUACUGAACUUUUUGAGUAAACUCUUCCUUUUUUGUUAAUCCCUUUUCCAGCAAUAGGAGAAUCGUGGUGGUGGAAUAUGGAUAGAUUUCUUUUGAUUUAUUCUUGUUUGGGUUGAGUUUUGCUGCAGGCAUUCCAGUGUAUGCAGUAAUUUUAAAUAAGAUAAGGGCUUAACAGAAAUGCCUGAGAAUUUGACCACACCUGAGGGUGAACCUGUGGACUGCUGGUUCUGGGACUGUCCGCCACUUUCUAGCCUUUUUGAUGUUGAGGCUAGUCUCCUAACUUCUCUGGGUCCCAGUAUACCCCUCAACCCCUCCCCCAGUAAUCACACUUGGGUAUCUUAUGAGAUUAGGGCAAACUAAAGCCCUUUUGUAAGUCUAAAGCUCCAUACAGUUGUGUUGAACAUUUUGGAAACAAAGAUGUUAUGACUGCCGUGAUUCAAUAACAGAGCCAUCUUU